rnacentral:lncRNA from 1 species
AGGAAAUGACCAGCGGCAGAUUACAAUACCAAAGCAAUUUUUCCUUACCACCAAGAAAACAGAAAAAGAUAACAAAUUUAAGCACCGUCUUUAACGGUGCAAGAACACAGAAAGACUACAAAAGUCACACACAAGCAUAGUUGUUACUUAGGAAUUCCUGAAAGGGGAAAACGUGCAUCGAUUUCUGUACAAACCAGACCCUGGAUCUGAAAUUCUCCCAAACAACGUAGGGACCUGCAGGCCAUGCUCAUCUUCUCCACUUCUUCCCAAGUGUUCU